rnacentral:ncRNA from 1 species
UUUCCCUCAGGAUAUCUGGUGUAGUAAUGAAGUUGUUAUAUUCGAUAAAACGAAUGAUAAGAGGAAUUGUGGGAUGACGAAAUGUUGUCUUCAACCUAUUCUCAAACUUCCAACAAAUGUGACACUUUGCUUGCUUAAAUAACAAAUAGACAUUUGAAUGUAUUGUGCUU